rnacentral:lncRNA from 1 species
CUCAUAACGACUAUAUUUUUUAUUCUUAUUCUUAUAAGAAUGAAAAUUAAACAAGGCUAAAUAGAAAAAAGAGGAAACAUAAAUAAAUGAGGGUAAAAUGGUACACCAAACUAUUGUUACCGCAAUGGGUGCAAUCCUCAAAAUUGGAGAAAACAUGGAGCAUAAUUUCCUUCAAUUCGACCUAGCUCCCCGACAAAUCGAACCAGAUGCAACGCACAAGACUCCAGAUUAUUUUUUCUUAGCUCAAUACCUUGGUCCGCUGUUUGUAGUCCUCCCUGAUUGCAGUUAUGUUACUGUAGAUGUGUCUUAAGAGAUAAAUUUUGUUAUUUUGAGGAUUAUUUUCUACAUUCUUUCUUUCUGAGUUUGCUCUUCUUCUACUACUGCUGACUUUGAUUAUGUGCUCAAAAUAUUUUCCAGAGAUGCGAAGAAGGCAUGAGUCUCUUGGCUUGUAUAUUUUUUCCCAAAAGGGGGAAGAAGGUAUGACAUGAUAUAAAUGUAUUCUGUAAUUUACAAUUUAUGGGAGGAAAGCUUAUUUGAGUACCAUAACUUAUUUUUCUUUUUUAACUUAGUGGAAGCACUGGCAAAUAAAUAAAUAUUUUGGACUUGACAUUGGGAUGAAGUUUCUGCCAAAUUUGAGAACUUUUGGUAAGGGCAAGAAUUUAGUUGCGUUGCGCAGGCAGUUCUCAAUUGAGCAAUAUGCCUGAAUUUUUUUCCCCCACUGAUUUUCAUGUUUAGGGACAUGGGUUUCUUGAUUUGGUUUGGAUUUUGAUAUGCUGUGAUUAUUUUUGGUAUAUGAUGGUUUUUUCGUCUACUCUGAGAGGAGUGCCGGGGGCCAGAAGAAUGUAACCGUUGGUGGUGGUGGUGGUGGUGAUUGGGAUGGAUUGGGUGGAUUUGGGAAGAAGAAGGUACAGAUUUUCCAUUUCUUUUGUUUUUUAAUAUGGUAAAUAUGAAAGUACCGUUUUAUCCUCAUUGAAAUUGAUUAUAAUGUGCUCAAAGUUAAAAUUCUUGGUCAAUUGACUGAAUUUGGAUGAAAACUGUUUAGAAGGGCUUCAUCUGCAACGUUUGAAAAUGUUAGAGGUGACGAUCGCAACAAAUUAAAAGUUUGGAAAAAAUUUGUUUGUGUUUUAAAGGUUUGAAACAUUUGCUACAAUUAUCCCUUAAUUUAGAAAUAUUUUUUUUUUUUUUUUUUUUUUUUUUUUUUUAUUACACAAGGUGUCCGGGCUUGCGUCCGACUAGAUCCUUGUCCCUGAACCUCCGGCCCCUCAGCAGCUCAGGGAGGUAAAUCGCAGGAUGUGCCCUUGUUGGCUCCCAGGUUCCCACAACUCAUUUGGACUCCUUCCGCAAAGAGAGCUCUCCUCGCUGGGCGUUUGUUCAACCAAAUGGCUUCCCCUCCAUUUUAGCACCCAGUGUUAACUCCAGGAAUCGAACUCUCCACCCUUGCUUCCAGCGUCCCAACGAAGUGAUUGUUCCACCAACUCGGAUGUGCCCUGGGGGGCUUAAUUUAGAAAUAUUACGUGUACGUUAGGUGGGGCUACAAGCAAAAGCCAAGGUUGUGGGAUUCCUAUCCGCCAUUGAAAUUCGAGAAAUUGUUUUUGAUGACAUCUAAUUUUUUCUACUUUAUACUUUUAAAAUUAUUAUGUAUUUUGCAUUUGAAAAUGUUUCCACCAUUAAAUUAUGCCUUCCUG